AGUGAACGCUGGCGGCAGGCCUAACACAUGCAAGUCGAGCGGCAGCGCGUCCGACCACCCUCGGGUGGUCGGAUGGCGGCGAGCGGCGGACGGGUGAGGAAUGCAUCGGAAUCUGCCUCGUUGUGGGGGAUAACGUAGGGAAACUUACGCUAAUACCGCAUACGACCUACGGGUGAAAGUGGGGGACCUUCGGGCCUCACGCGAUGAGAUGAGCCGAUGCCGGAUUAGCUAGUUGGCGGGGUAAAGGCCCACCAAGGCGACGAUCCGUAGCUGGUCUGAGAGGAUGAUCAGCCACACUGGAACUGAGACACGGUCCAGACUCCUACGGGAGGCAGCAGUGGGGAAUAUUGCACAAUGGGCGAAAGCCUGAUGCAGCCAUGCCGCGUGUGUGAAGAAGGCCCUAGGGUUGUAAAGCACUUUCAAUAGGGAGGAAAAGCUAGUAGUUAAUACCUGCUAGCCCUGACGUUACCUAUAGAAGAAGCACCGGCUAACUCCG
rnacentral:rRNA from 1 species